UAUCACGAAUCAAGCCUGGCUUGCUGUUGGGCCUCUUGUCGUUAAACCGACAGGUCCUAAAGAUAAUGACGGUGUUAUUUUGACCCUAGAUGCAACGAGCUUUCACGAGCACGCGUCUAGUUGGACUCUUUAACCCGGUCUUUUUUAACCAAUUUUAAAAGGUUGACCUCGGAUCAGGUAGGAAUACCCGCUGAACUUAA
rnacentral:misc_RNA from 1 species